rnacentral:rRNA from 1 species
CCUACGGGUGGCAGCAGUGAGGAAUAUUGGUCAAUGGACGAGAGUCUGAACCAGCCAAGUAGCGUGAAGGAUGACUGCCCUAUGGGUUGUAAACUUCUUUUAUAAAGGAAUAAAACGAGGCACGUGUGCCUUUUUGCAUGUACUUUAUGAAUAAGGAUCGGCUAACUCCGUGCCAGCAGCCGCGGUAAUACGGAGGAUCCGAGCGUUAUCCGGAUUUAUUGGGUUUAAAGGGAGCGUAGAUGGGUUGUUAAGUCAGUUGUGAAAGUUUGCGGCUCAACCGUAAAAUUGCAAUUGAUACUGGCAGUCGUGAGUACAGUUGAGGUAGGCGGAAUUCGUGGUGUAGCGGUGAAAUGCUUAGAUAGCACGAAGAACUCCGAUUGCGAAGGCAGCUUACUAAACUGCCACUGACAUUGAUGCUCGAAAGUGUGGGUAUCAAACAGGAUUAGAUACCCGAGUAGUC